rnacentral:rRNA from 1 species
AGCCAGACUCCUACGGGAGGCAGCAGUGGGGAAUAUUGCACAAUGGGGGAAACCCUGAUGCAGCGACGCCGCGUGAGUGAAGAAGUAUUUCGGUAUGUAAAGCUCUAUCAGCAGGGAAGAAAAUGACGGUACCUGACUAAGAAGCCCCGGCUAACUACGUGCCAGCAGCCGCGGUAAUACGUAGGGGGCAAGCGUUAUCCGGAUUUACUGGGUGUAAAGGGAGCGUAGACGGUGAUGCAAGUCAGAAGUGAAAGCCCGGGGCUCAACUCCGGGACUGCUUUUGAAACUGUGUGACUGGAGUGCAGGAGAGGUAAGCGGAAUUCCUGGUGUAGCGGUGAAAUGCGUAGAUAUCAGGAGGAACACCAGUGGCGAAGGCGGCUUACUGGACUGUAACUGACGUUGAGGCUCGAAAGCGUGGGGAGCAAACAGGAUUAGAUACCCGAGUA